rnacentral:rRNA from 1 species
AUGUUCACAUGAUUAAAGGUAUUCCGGUAGACGAUGGGGAUGCGUUCCAUUAGAUAGUAGGCGGGGUAACGGCCCACCUAGUCUUCGAUGGAUAGGGGUUCUGAGAGGAAGGUCCCCCACAUUGGAACUGAGACACGGUCCAAACUCCUACGGGAGGCAGCAGUGAGGAAUAUUGGUCAAUGGGCGCAGGCCUGAACCAGCCAAGUAGCGUGAAGGAUGACUGCCCUAUGGGUUGUAAACUUCUUUUAUAAAGGAAUAAAGUCGGGUAUGCAUACCCGUUUGCAUGUACUUUAUGAAUAAGGAUCGGCUAACUCCGUGCCAGCAGCCGCGGUAAUACGGAGGAUCCGAGCGUUAUCCGGAUUUAUUGGGUUUAAAGGGAGCGUAGAUGGAUGUUUAAGUCAGUUGUGAAAGUUUGCGGCUCAACCGUAAAAUUGCAGUUGAUACUGGAUAUCUUGAGUGCAGUUGAGGCAGGCGGAAUUCGUGGUGUAGCGGUGAAAUGCUUAGAUAUCACGAAGAACUCCGAUUGCGAAGGCAGCCUGCUAAGCUGCAACUGACAUUGAGGCUCGAAAGUGUGGGUAUCAAACAGGAUUAGAUACCCUGGUAGUCCACACGGUAAACGAUGAAUACUCGCUGUUUGCGAUAUACGGCAAGCGGCCAAGCGAAAGCGUUAAGUAUUCCACCUGGGGAGUACGCCGGCAACGGUGAAACUCAAAGGAAUUGACGGGGGCCCGCACAAGCGGAGGAACAUGUGGUUUAAUUCGAUGAUACGCGAGGAACCUUACCCGGGCUUAAAUUGCAGAUGAAUUACGGUGAAAGCCGUAAGCCGCAAGGCAUCUGUGAAGGUGCUGCAUGGUUGUCGUCAGCUCGUGCCGUGAGGUGUCGGCUUAAGUGCCAUAACGAGCGCAACCCUUGUUGUCAGUUACUAACAGGUUCCGCUGAGGACUCUGACAAGACUGCCAUCGUAAGAUGUGAGGAAGGUGGGGAUGACGUCAAAUCAGCACGGCCCUUACGUCCGGGGCUACACACGUGUUACAAUGGGGGGUACAGAGGGCCGCUACCACGCGAGUGGAUGCCAAUCCCAAAAACCUCUCUCAGUUCGGACUGGAGUCUGCAACCCGACUCCACGAAGCUGGAUUCGCUAGUAAUCGCGCAUCAGCCACGGCGCGGUGAAUACGUUCCCGGGCCUUGUACACACCGCCCGUCAAGCCAUGGGAGCCGGGGGUACCUGAAGUGCGUAACCGCGAGGAGCGCCCUAGGGUAAAACUGGUGACUGGGGCUAAGUCGUAACAAGGUAGCCGUACCGGAAGGUGCGGCUG